rnacentral:lncRNA from 1 species
CCCAGUAUUGCAGGAGCAGGAAGCCUAGCAACUACUUUUGCCAAACUUCUGUUUUAAUAGCCUUGUUUGGAUUCAGUCAACGAGAGGCAUUCAAGUGAAAUUUGGGAGAUAGAAGAGAAGCAGAAGCCAUUAUUGUUUCUCCAACAUCAAAGUUCCUUCAUUUUAAUACCUGAAAAUCACUAACCAUGGAUGCUGCUGAGAACUAAGACUAGAUAAGAACUGAAGACGGGAAGGUGAACUACUCGUGGAUCCCUUCCUUUUGGGAAAGCCAGCCAUCGUGGAUGCAAGAGCACUUGACGUUAGACCUAGGUGAAGAGAACCUGAGGGGUCCUACCAAAAGCCAGCACUAACAUGCCAUCCAUGUGAAGUCUUGCAAGAAAAUGAAGUAAUGUUAUUGGAAACUGAAGAAAAGGGGAUCCUUAUUACACUGUAUAGUGGCAGAAAGUUCAACAACAUUGUUGCCUGAAGUAACUGAAAGGUAGAAAAUGUGUCUAAUGAACUGGGUGAUCUAGCUAGAGAGAUUUCCAAGCAAAGGUUUCUUCUUGUUGCUUACAGCAAAAUGUAAGAGGAGAGAGAGAAACUAAAGGAAGAACUGUUAAACAACAAGGAGACAGAAUUUGCUGGUUUUGAAAAUUCUCAGCCUCUCCAAAUGGCAAACAAUGCUGAAGUUAAGAUAUAGCUUCUGAGCAAAAAUCAAAUCCAGGGCACUACCAGUAAAACACGGUCCAAAGAAAAAGCCAAGGGUGUGGCUAUAAAAUCUUUCUAGUCUCAAAAAGAUUUAAGGUUGCGCAUUAGAGUACUAUUGAGUCAGACAAAAGGGCUUCUAAGGAGAUUAAAGGUAUAUCUCUUUAGGAGAUUAAAGGCAUAGUCUCUUAAUAAAAUGGUAAAGUGUCUAGGAAACUUAAGUUCAUUGUCCCUCAGCCAUCCCAUCAGAAGCCCAAGGUAGAGAAGAGCUUAUUUGAAAGAUAUUUGUAGGUGUGGCUUUGUCUAAUGGGGUAGACCCCCAUAAGAUUCAUGGAAGACUCAUAAAAUUUUUUAAAGAAUUAUGUAUGCAGAAAUAUUGUCACCUUGGACCAAAAGGGAUAAAGAUGGGACAAAAUAAAAAGAGGCCUUUAGACCCUCAAAUUUCUACUAGCAAGAAGUAGGCUGAGAAAAUUCCUCAUCUAUAAAUGUGGGCUAUCUUUCAUGAAAAAGGGAGGAUGACCUAGAAGUCAGAACCAAGACCCCAGAACAUGAUGCUGAGAGCCAGGGAGAAUUAUUCCCCAGCCUUGAGACUUAAUCAAGGAACUUUCAACAUUAGCUUAGCUGGAUUUCAGAAUUAUAAUGGACCAGUGACUCCUUUGUGCCUGCCAUCUUCCCUCCUUUUGAACAGAAAUAUCUACAGCAGUUACCCUGUUACGCCUGUCUCACCAUUGUGUGUUGGGUAUAUGGAGGGGCAGAUAAACUUUAGUUUCACCGGGGGGGAAGAACUGUACUCAAGGAGCUACAUUUAAGGAACUAAACCCAGGGAGCCUCAACUGCACCUGGACCUGAUUUAGAUGAUGAGAUGCCAUACUUCAAGCUGAUGCUGUAAUAAAGGUGAGACUUGUGGUGACUUUGGGAGAAAGUGAGUGUAUUUUGCACGUGGGAGGGACAUGAAUCCUUGGGGACCAGAGAAUGGACUGUGGUAGCCAGCCUCCAAGAUCAGCCCUCAAUUAUCCUUGCCUCCUGGUAUUCACACCCUUGUGUAGGCCCUUCCUACACUGUGUCACAAUUGGUCUGUGUGACCAACAGCAUGUGGCAGAAGUGAUGGUAUGUAACUUCUGAGGUUAGGUUAUUAAAAAGACUGCAGCUUCCAUACCAGUAUCUCUCUGUCUCUCUGUCUCUGUCUCUAUUUCUAUCUCUUGGAUAACUCCCUGUUGGAGAAGCAAGCUGCCAUACUGUAUGCAGCUCUAGGGAGAAGGCCACCUGGCAGAAUACUAAAGCCUCUAGGAACUGUGUCCUGCCCACAACCAUGUGAGUGAACUUAGUAGUGAAUUAUUCAGCCCUACUCUAGCUAUGAGAUGACUGCAGUCCCAGCCAACAUCCUGAAAGCAACCUCAUGAGACCUUGAAUCAGAACCACCUGGCUAAGUCACUCUCAGAUUACUAAACCUUAGGAACUGUAUGACAUAAUAAAAUGUUUGUUGUUUUAAACUGUGAAGUUUUGAGGUAAUUUAUUAUGCAGUAACAGAUAACAAACACACCAGCCUAAGAGCUAGGACUGCCCAACAGAAGCUAGAACAGAAGCUAGAGAGGGGCUGUCCUUCUGCAGUUGGAGCCAUAAAGAAGAUGCAGCCACUACUGGAGACACUGCAUGAAGCACAGGGAGAAGGAAAGACUUAGCCUCUUCAUGGCCCCUCAUCUGCCACCCUUGCCUCCACU